AGACGUAGGAGGCGAGCGUUAUCCGGAUUUACUGGGCGUAAAGGGCAAGUAGGCGGUAUGGCAAGUCAGUUGUGACAGAUCCCGGCUCAACUGGGAGAGGACGAAUGAGACUGCCAAACUAGAGGACAGGAGAGGGGAGCGGAAUUCCUUGUGUAGCGGUGGAAUGCUCAGAUACAAGGAGGAACACCAGUGGCGAAGGCGGCUCUCUGGCCUGAUCCUGACGCUGAAGAGCGAAAGCUAGGGUAGCAAACGGGCUUAGAUACCCCGGUAGUCCUAGCUGUAAACGUUGGGUACUAGGUAUUGGGAGUGAGAACACUUUCAGUGCCGAAGCGAACGCGUUAAGUACCCCGCCUGGGGACUACGGCAGCAAGGUUAAA
rnacentral:rRNA from 1 species